AUUGAACGCUGGCGGCAGGCCUAACACAUGCAAGUCGAACGAGUGGCGGACGGGUGAGUAAUGUCUGGGAAACUGCCUGAUGGAGGGGGAAAACUACUGGAAAACGUAGCUAAUACCGCAUACGAUCAGAUGUGCCCAGAUGGGAUUAGCUUGUUGGUGGGGUAACGGCUCACAAAGGCGACGCUCCCUAGCUGGUCUGAGAGGAUGACCGGCCACACUGGGACUGAGACACGGCCCAGACUCCUACGGGAGGCAGCAGUGGGGAAUAUUGGACAAUGGGCGCAAGUCUGAUGCAGCCAUGCCGCGUGUGUGAAGAAGGCCUUCGGGUUGUAAAGUACUGUCAGCGGGGAAGCGGUAUCUGCAGAAGAAGCAACGGCUAACUACGUGCCAGCAGCCGCGGUAAUUC
rnacentral:rRNA from 1 species